UCUGAGUCUACCUCACUCAUGAUCGAAAAUAGGAGUCUUCCAGGAAUACAUGACCCUCCCUUCAUUUUUGAAUGAGUCUGGGCCUGUAAAAGCCGAUCAAACACGAUGCUUUAAUUUUGGGUAAAUGUGCUUCGAAUUCUAAGUAGAACUUCUGAGUAAGAGUUUAUCUCGUCUCCCUGGAACACUGCGACAUAGCCUGCCAACAAAUGAACUCCCUGGAACGACGCUGACAUUUCCUUCUAGGCCUGUUUUCUCAGGGUGUCAAGUGCAGUCUGCACAGGCGCGCCGGCCUGAGAGAGCCCGGCCGAGGCGCGCCGGCCUGAGAGAGCCCGGCCGAGGCGCGCCGGCCUGAGAGAGCCCCGGAGAGGCGCGCCGGCCUGAGGGAGCCCGGCCGAGGUGCGCCGGCCUGAGAGAGCCCCGGAGAGGAGCGCCGGCCUGAGAGAGCCCGGCCGAGGAGCGCCGGCCUGAGAGAGCCCCGGAGAGGAGCGCCGGCCUGAGAGAGCCCGGCCGAGGAGCGCCGUUCUGAGGGAGCCCGGCCGAGGCGCGCCGGCCUGAGAGAGCCCCGGAGAGGAGCGCCGGCCUGAGAGAGCCCGGCCGAGGAGCGCCGGCCUGAGGGAGCCCGGCCGAGGCGCGCCGGCCUGAGAGAGCCCCGGAGAGGAGCGCCGGCCUGAGGGAGCCCGGCUGAGGCGCGCCGGCCUGAGAGAGCCCCGGAGAGGAGCGCCGGCCUGAGAGAGCCCGGCCGAGGAGCGCCGUUCUGAGGGAGCCCGGCCGAGGCGCGCCGGCCUGAGAGAGCCCCGGAGAGGCGCGCCGGCCUGAGGGAGCCCGGCUGAGGCGCGCCGGCCUGAGAGAGCCCCGGAGAGGAGCGCCGGCCUGAGAGAGCCCGGCUGAGGCGCGCCGGCCUGAGGGAGCCCGGCCGAGGCGCGCCGGCCUGAGGGAGCCCGGCCGAGGCGCGCCGGCCUGAGAGAGCCCCGGAGAGGCGCGCCCGCCUGAGAGAGCCCAGAAUUAGAAGUUCUCCAUGACCUCCACCUCCAUGGAUUUAGAAAGCAUCUAAUUAAAUGAUAACAUACCACUACUUUUAAGAUGUUUCAAGAUUUCAGAGAUGACGAAAGUGGAAACACGUGCAUUCUAGAAACAAUGAAAUACGAUGCUGAGAAAAAUUUCUGUCUCUGGACGGAACCCUGACUGAUACUGUAUCCUAACAUUAUUAGUCAUGACGUCCCGUUGCAGAAAAUACCGGUUCAACAGAGAAAGAUGUAACCACUACAGUAUUCUCCUGUUGAAGAAAGUUUGCUGUACACCACUUCACUUUUACAAAAGACCUGCUUUAGUGCCUGUUUUUUGCUAACCAAAAGAAAUCUGAAGAGGAUUUCAUUGUUAAGAAAAAAGAUGAGAAGCAAAAACACUGUUCAGUGUUGGUUCUGCAGCGAGCCCUCGGAGAGGCAGCAAGCACUUGGGGCCGUGAGAGUGGCCCCACCAAGCUCUUUCCCUGAGAACUACACUCAGCAUCCCAGCAUCCAGCCGCCAUAGCUUGGAACUGUGUCUGUGAGUCUCUGUGCUGUAUCUCCAUUUUUUUGUGUGUGCAUCCCUUAGCAAGAUGGAGUUACAGAGAUUCUGGGAGGACAAGAGAUGUUUCUAGAGACACACAGAGUAAUUGUAGAAUGACAGUGCCCAGUAUCUCAUGAUGGACAUGAUGGAACAGCAAAUGGCAUAUACCAAGCCCUAAAGGAACAAACGGUGAAUGAGUGAAUAAAUUAAGAAAAGCUGCAGUGCAGAAUAGCACCGUUAGAAUGCUCUGCUUCUACUGUGUUUCAUUCAUUGAACUAAGAUGCACCACCACCUAUGAGAGCUGCUGAACACAGAAAAUUUAGAAGAGACAUAGUUUCCUUAAGAGCAUAAAAAUAAAAAGUAAAUACUG